GAUGAACGCUGGCGGCGUGCCUAAUACAUGCAAGUCGAGCGAAUGGAUUAAGAGCUUGCUCUUAUGAAGUUAGCGGCGGACGGGUGAGUAACACGUGGGUAACCUGCCCAUAAGACUGGGAUAACUCCGGGAAACCGGGGCUAAUACCGGAUAACAUUUUGAACCGCAUGGUUCGAAAUUGAAAGGCGGCUUCGGCUGUCACUUAUGGAUGGACCCGCGUCGCAUUAGCUAGUUGGUGAGGUAACGGCUAACCAAGGCAACGAUGCGUAGCCGACCUGAGAGGGUGAACGGCCACACUGGGACUGAGACACGGCCCAGACUCCUACGGGAGGCAGCAGUAGGGAAUCUUCCGCAAUGGACGAAAGGCUGACGGAGCAACGCCGCGUGAGUGAUGAAGGCUUUCGGGUCGUAAAACUCUGUUGUUAGGGAAGAACAAGUGCUAGUUGAAUAAGCUGGCACCUUGACGGUACCUAACCAGAAAGCCACGGCUAACUACGUGCCAGCCGCCGCCGUAA
rnacentral:rRNA from 1 species